AUUGAACGCUGGCGGCAGGCCUAACACAUGCAAGUCGAACGAGUGGCGGACGGGUGAGUAAUGUCUGGGAAACUGCCUGAUGGAGGGAGAUAACUACUGGAAACGGUAGCUAAUACCGCAUACCAUCAGAUGUGCCCAGAUGGGAUUAGCUAGGUUGUGGGGUAACGGCCCAUCAAGGCGACGAUCCCUAGCUGUUCUGAGAGGAUGACCAGCCACACUGGAACUGAGACACGGUCCAGACUCCUACGGGAGGAAGCAGUGGGGAAUAUUGCACAAUGGGCGCAAUCCUGAUGCAGCCAUUCCGCGUGUAUGAAGAAGGCCUUCGGGUUGUAAAGUACUUUCAGCGGGGAGGCGUUACCCGCAGAAGAAGCACCGGCUAACUCCGUGCCAGCCGCCGCGGUAAUAC
rnacentral:rRNA from 1 species